rnacentral:rRNA from 1 species
UACGUAGGGUGCGAGCGUUAAUCGGAAUUACUGGGCAUAAAGCGUGCGCAGGCGGUUCGUUAAGUCAGAUGUGAAAGCCCCGGGCUCAACCUGGGAACUGCAUUUGAAACUGGCGGGCUUGAGUGUGGCAGAGGGGGGUGGAAUUCCGCGUGUAGCAGUGAAAUGCGUAGAGAUGCGGAGGAACACCGAUGGCGAAGGCAGCCCCCUGGGCCAACACUGACACUGAGGAGCGAGAGCCAGGGGAGCAAACGGG